GAGACAAGGCUGCUGGCACGAAUGCAGGAGAAUAAUCGUCGCCAAUAGCGUGUUUUUGAGACUAUCCUGAGAUCUGUAUCCUGGUGAGAACACCCGCCAAUGCAGUGACGUGUAUGAAGUUUAUCACCGCUACCGUUUUAUGCCACUGAGAUUUACACUGUACCAUGUUGAGUU